rnacentral:rRNA from 1 species
CAGUAGGGAGGAAGGUAGUGUAGUUAACACCUGCAUUAUUUGACGUUACCUACAGAAGAAGCACCGGCUAACUCCGUGCCAGCAGCCGCGGUAAUACGGAGGGUGUGAGCGUUAAUCGGAAUUACUGGGCGUAAAGCGCAUGCAGGCGGCCUGUUAAGUCAGAUGUGAAAGCCCGGGGCGUUAACCUCGGAAUUGCAUUUGAAACUGGCAGGCUAGAGUCUUGUAGAGGGGGGUAGGAAUUUCAGGUGUAGCGGUGAAAAUGCGUAGAGAUCUGAAGGAAUACCAGUGGCGAAGGCGGCCCCCGGACAAAGACUGACGCUCAGAUGCGAAAGCGUGGGGAGCAAACAGGAUUAGAUACCCUGGUAG